rnacentral:tRNA from 1 species
GAGGGUAUAGCUCAAGCAGUGGAGUGUAUGUUUAGCAUGCACAAGGUCCUGGGUUCAAUCCUCAGUACCUCCU